rnacentral:lncRNA from 1 species
GGAGAGGUUUUAGCUCCUGAGAGACAAGAGGGGACCUGAAUGGGUCGCUGCGGAUUCCACUUGACAGAAGAAAUUUUAUACAGCAGAAUCAUGAGAAACUAUGACCUUUGGAGCUGGCCCCUGCCCUGUGGUCUCAGUCCAGGAUCCAGCACUCCCAGUGUCUCCAUCUGGGGCUGACAAUGGCACUCAAGCUCUUGGACCCUUGAUUUAGUGCUGUCCCCAGGUCCUUUGCUUUGCUGUACAAAUGUAUAGGUGUGUGUGGGGGGGGGGCAAUGCAAGUGGUUUAACUUCCUACUGACGUCUUUAGAAUAAAUAAUUACUCUCCUUAUAAACAUUCUUUUAAAAGAAGGUUUUUGAGGUCAAUUAUUAAGUUCUUCAACUCUGUUCUCUUCUAAGACAAAGAACACCAAUUAAAAUCAUAGAAAUGAUUCAAGAGUGUUAUCUAAAGUUGGUAAGUUAUUCAAGCUAUGAUGAUAGCAUUUAAAAAAUACUUUAAGUAAGAAGUUGUAUACCUGUAACCUCAGCACUUUGGGAGACUGAGGGAGGAGGUUUGCAAAUUCAAGACUAGCCUGGGCAACUUGGCAAUUUAGUGAGACCCUGUCACAAAAUAAAACCAGAACAAGAAAAA